AUGAAGUCAAUCUGGGCCUGGCAGAUUUUGCCACCACUUGGACAGACAUGGCACUCGUGGACGUUGUGUUACUUCUCAGCUUGCUGGUUCCCUGUUCCCUUCACCAUGAUCUCAUUAUUGGCAUUUUGUUUUCAAAGUGUUAUCGUUCCCAUUUUGCAUUAUGCCUCUGUGUGCAGUGGUCUCUUUUUUGAGAUGGAGUCUCGCUCUUUCACCCAGGCUGGAGUGCCAUGGUGUGGUCUCGGCUCACUGCAACCUCUGCCUACCAGGUUCAAGCGAUUCUCCUGCCUCAGCCUCCCGAGUAACUUAAGAGAGAACCAUUCUCUGCUUUCAAUAGGACAGAAGAGCUCCUUGGCACUGGACGCCUCCGGGUCUGGUGAGAGAGGAAUGGUUAGGAGACUGUUCUGAGGAUACACAGACAUCAUCCAAAACUUCCUACAUUCAGAUGAAGAGGUUGGACCAGAGCUUUGCAUGCUUGUUACCUAAGGACGGUUCUGAUCAUGCGAGCAAAUCACAGAAGGUAAGCCAUGCUGAAGAACUUGCAAUAGUUACAUUUCCCAUGUUUAUCUCCAUGGGUAACAAUAGGUUCAUGAUGCUCUUAUUUCAAUUACUCUACAUCCUGUUAAUGGCUAGUUGUGUGAUCCUGUAAUUUAAUUUCUCUGUACCUCAGUUUUAUCUGAAAAAAAAAAAAAAAAAAGAUAAUAACGCUUAUCUCUUAGGGUCAUCGUGAGGAUUCCUUGAGUUAGUCCAGGCAAAGGCUUUAGAACAGUGCCUGGUGUAUAGUAAAUGCUAAGAAACGUUGGUAAUUAUCAUUGCUAUGAUUCAUUUCCACCAGAAUUUGAGUUUUUUUUUCUUAUUUUCUGCUGAUUGACUUUGUCCAACUCCCAUCAUCAUUAUGCAAACUCUUUGGGUCAUUUUUAUGGAAAUAGACUGGUAAUAGAGUGGUUAAGUUACAGGCUUUCUAGUGAAAUGAAGUUUUCAAAGUAAUGUUUAAGAACUGCAUCUCCUUGACUUUCUCCGAGCCUCAGUUUCUUCAUCUAUAAUGUAAGGAUGAUAAUAAUUGUUGCCUCAUAACACUUUAAGAGGAUUGAAUGGGACGAUAUUUGCACAAUGUCUGGCAAGCAUAUAAAGACUGUAAAGAAUAUUGUGUAUUCUAUUAUCUUUGCUGCCCAAAAUAUACAAAACAGCACUCUCAAAAAUGCUUCUAUAAGCUUGUCAAGUUCCAGGGCUCAUGUCAUGUCAAUAUUCCAUCAGAAAAGAGGAAAAAGUCCACAGAAAUGGAAAGAUUCUGUAUACUGUGACUUUACUAGGACCCUUUGUGAAAUAAUGAUGUAGAAUUGAGAGGGCUGAGUCUUGCUCAAUACUGAUUUUAAUUCAAGUUAGAAAACUCAAAUUUCUUCUUAAAAAUUGAAGUUGUAUAUUUUUAAGAUACACAGUGUGAGGCUUUGAUACACAUACACAUAGUGAGUUGAUUUUAAAAUCAAGCUAAUUAAUAUAUCCAUUAUAAUAUAUAAGGUCUUCACAUAGUUACUUCUUUGUGUGUAGUGAGAACACUUAAGAUCUAUUCUCUUAGCAAAUUUCAAAUUUCAAGUAUACAACACAGUAUUAUAAACCACAGUCCCCGUGUUAUACAUUAGGUCUCUAGAACUUCUUCAUCCUGCAUAACUGAAACUUUGUAUCUUUUGACCAACUUUGCCUGGGAACCACUACUGUGACUCUCUGCCUCUAUGAAUUCAACUCUUAGAUUCCCCAUAUAAGUGAGAUCAUCUGGGCCGGGCGCAGUGGCUCAAGCCUGUAAUCCCAGCACUUUGGGAGGCCAAGGCGGGUGGAUCACCAGGUCAAGAGAUCGAGUCCAUCCUGGUCAACAUGGUGAAACCCCAUCUCUACUAAAAAUACAAAAAAUUAGCUGGGCGUGGUGGCGCAUGUCUGUAAUCCCAGCUACUCAGGAGGCUGAGGCAGGAGAAUUGCCUGAACCCAGGAGGUGGAGGUUGUGGUGAGCCGAGAUCGCGCCAUUGCACUCCAGCCUGGGUAACAAGAGUGAAACUCCGUCCCCCCCCCCAAAAAAAAAAAGUGAGAUAAUCUAAUUUUUUCUUUCUGUGCUUGGCUUAUUUCAUUUAACAUAAUGUCCUCCAAGUUUAUCUAUG
rnacentral:lncRNA from 1 species